GUGUGAUCUCCAUUAUCUUCCACUUCUGUAAUUUUCUUCUUUCAAUUUUACUUUUCCUUUUCAUUUUGCUUACUUUUUCCACCUUUUCUUCCUGCCCCUGUCUCUUUUCAGCAGGGUCCAGUCUGCUUUUAAUUGUGAAUUUCAUAGUCCUGGGUUUUAUUUUAUUUUCCAUUUUUUUAAAAGCUCUUCCAACUUCCUGUCUGUCUAUUUCCUUCCCUCCCACCCCCCAUUUAAUGAUUUUAAAUAAGAUUUUUCUUUCCUAAUGGUGUCUUCUUUGAUACUUUGUUUUAGAGGACUAUGCUUUCUUUGUCUUGAUAUGGAAGUUUCUAAAAUUAUUUUUGUACUUCAUGACCUAUUUCAUUAUGGGGAGUGUGGGGUUCUUAAUCUGCCUUCUGUUUAUCAAAUUCUUUUUUUUUAAAUAUACACAAUUUAUUUUCACAUACAGAAUAAAUAAUAAUCCAGCCUUCAGUUUCUGCAUUGAGGUUUUUUGGGAUUUCAUGGGUUUCCUAAAUUAAAAAGUAUGUUCUUGUUUAUCAAAUUCUUUACCUACUUUUUUCUUAUAAAAUCUUAUCAUGAACCCCAUUCUGAUUCACUUUGUCACCUUUGAAUAGAUGUAAUUCACUCUGGAUCAUUUAUCAAAAGAGUAUGUGUGCGGAAUUGUUCCCAGGCUGGGGCCUUCCAACUCUAAGUCACUUUGGCCCAUGCCGACCAGUUCUCAUUGGAUGGAACCUGUUCUUACAGAUUUUAUGGUUAGGGGGAAUUAUCCUCACCUCCCUGUGUUCUGAGACCUGUUUGGAGACAUAAG
rnacentral:lncRNA from 1 species